UUUCUCCCUGAAAACUAUAAUUCUAUCACGUCUCUUUCCAAUUUUCCGGGCAGUAAUUUGUUCCAUGACAUCAGCUUUUGGACAGAUCUAAAAAAAAGAGUCUUCAGUUUAAACUUUUGCUUUGUGUGGUUUGGGUUGGGAUGGGUUUGUCUGUUUGAGACAGGAUCUCAUGUAAUUCGGUCUGAUCUCAGACUACUUAUGUAGCAUGGGGGUGACCCUGAACUCUGAUCCAGUUCCCAAAUUCUGGGAUUACAGGCAUGUGCCACAUGCGCAGAUAAAUUUUCAGUGUGUCUGGCUUUAUCCUCGUUCCAAGGAUGGAAGUGAUGACUUCUAAGUCACAUGUCAGACAGGGAGUCAUCAGGGUGGUUUUAAUGCUGAUGUUACCAUUUAUGAACUUUGUGGUAGUGUGAGCCUCAGGGUUGGUGUGAGUCAGACUCUUAGUCUAGCGUAGGAACCAGGGUGGAGGCGGCUGUGUUUCUUUGGUGAGGACCUGGGCAUGUUACAAACCGUAGUGUAACCUAGAGCAGGCAUGAGCAACCCUUCUCAGGAAAGUUAACCCGAACCUGUGCUUCCUUGGUCCUUUGCCACUUGAAAGCUAACUCAGUUCAGUUUCUAAUAUCUUCUGUGCUCGGCCAUUUCCUGUUACUAAUAGCACAACAACACACUGGCUGGAUUCUAAGCAAGAGGAGUUUAUUUGGCUCAUGCUUCUAUUUUGGUUCAUUGUUCUGGAUUGGUCACAUCUGCCUUCUUGCUGGCAGAGUCCUGAGGAAGAGGCCUAGGUGGAAAGAGUUUGAGCGAGCUGUUUGUGUCUUCUGCUUACACAGGUGGAGCAACAAGAGUGAAGUGUAGAGCAGAGGAACGGUCCUCUUUGUUGGGAAUGUACACGGGCAACUCCCUCACCAGGGUAGAGAGCUCAAGAAGGGGCCAUUCAAGUGGAACGUCCCGCAUAGACGAAGAAAAAGAGAUUCUCAAGUGGUACCUGCGCAUCUAGGAGGGAAACAGAGAGC
rnacentral:lncRNA from 1 species